rnacentral:lncRNA from 1 species
AUUUCUGGGAGAGUAGCGUGUUCACAUGACAGUGGUUGUGCCCCAGAAUCUCCUUCCAUGCUGGUAACAACUGGGAGAUGAAGGUGUUGAAGGUGAUGAGAAGAAAGUCCCGACUAUGCGUGGACUGGAAGUCUGACUCUGCGAGUGUGAGGAGAUGCCAGAGCCCGGGCAGUGCUGCUGGAGCCCCAAGGAUGCAGGAGACCAGGUACUGUGCUCACACCCCAGGGGACCCCCUCCCCACGCUCAUCCACAGCUUCCUUUCCUGGUGGAGUAGAAAGCAGGAAUCGAUGGACCCCAAGAAUGGCAGAGGGGACAAGAGGGCAGCCUCGUUAUAAGUGGUGGGUACAGAAGGGGGUACCGGCCAUAGGACUCAGCGCCAACCAGCUGUGGCCACCACCGGCUCAGCUCCACACACGGCCCCACCCCUCCCCGCUUCCCCAGCCUCCAAGACAGGUUCGUCUACAGAUGGUCUCACCUCCUCCCCCACUCCAGUGACCAGUGGAAGAAGGAAGGCAGGCCACAGCCAUGUCAGUGACAGAAAGCCACCUGACAAAGGAGGAGGACAGAGCGUCAGCGUGAGAGUCAGGGCUCCGGAAAGCAUGUGCCAUCAGAGGAGCAGUGGGUCAUAGGACAACACAAUACAAGACAGAGGCCGUCCUGGGAUGUUCCCCAAAGGUAUGUCCUUCCAGGAACCUCAGAAUGUGAACUUAAUGGAAAUGGAGUCACCGUGGAUACAAUUGUUGACAUUAAGCUGAGCUCAUACUGGACAAAGGUGGGCCUUGGGUCCCAUAGGACUGAUGUCCUUGCAGGGAGAGGAGGGAGACCCAGGCCGCAGGAACUGGCAGGUGUAAUACACCAGGGGUACGGAGGAAGGCUGGAAGACGCAAGGAAGGGGCCUCCCCUGGGGACCUAGAAGGGACGCUGGUCCUGCCAGCACCCCCAUUUUGGACACCUAGCCUUCUGAACAUUAAGACCACACAGUUCUGGUGCUUUCACCGCUGUCCCAGGGCACGGAUACAGGGGACACCAAGUCUCUCUAUUGGUUCCAGAAAGGUGCUGGGAGAGCUGGCAACCCUCUGACUAUUUUUGGCUGCUAAACUGUAUUUCUUUGUAUGUGAAGCCGAGCAAGCCUGAGCCAUGUGGGGCCCUGGCUUAUAUUUGGAUUAAAAUGUGAUGGAGCUAAUGUCUAUUUCACAGGAUCAUUGUGAGGACUACAUGACACAGUCUGGGUAGCAUAUGUCAGGGUGCCUGGCACACAGGACAAUUACCAGCAGCAUGCCAUAGGUUUUCUAUUGAUUAUUGGCAGAAAAUAGGCGAAUGUAAAAUAUAAAGUAUUUGUUACAUUUCUCUCUCUUUUUAUUCUAACGUUUCUGACAAGUCUUUGACAAAACACAAGUGAGUAAAAAUUUUAUUUAAAGGUCUAUUUGAUGGGGCACCUGGGUGGCUCAGUCUGCUGAGCAUCUGACUCUUGGUUUCAGCUCAGGUCAUGAUCUCAGGGUCGUGAGACCGAGUCUUACGUUGGGCUCUACGCUUAGAGCGGAGUCUGCUUGAGAUUAUCUCUCUCCCUGCCCUUCCCCUCUGCUUACAUUCUCAAUCUCUCUCAAAUAAAUAAAUGAAUCUUAAAAAAAUAAAGAUCUAUUUACCAAUAUUAUAUGAAGACAUAUAAAUAUAACAAAGGUAGCUCUGUUUGCUAGAAAUUUGGAAAAAUUAAGGGAAAGUAUAGCAGAAUUAGUAAAUAGUGGUAACUAGACUCAGAACAAUCCAAACAGCACGGUCAAUAUUUGCUGUCUCAAUCUGAGGCACAUGAUUUCUCUGGAUUUUGGAUGCAUGAAGUUUGGUGGCUCUAAGACAUCCUAAACUGAAAGAUCAUGGGCAUCGAUUAUGAAUUUUGCUAGAGAGUCUCUAUAUAGCAGGGACUUGAAAUGAUCUGAAUUUGGUAACAAUUCUCCUGCUAAUAUGAGCAUGGAUGAGGAGAAAGUUCCCUGAAGCCACACUUCCUCCUCUGUACCUUGGGGUGAUAGCCUCCAAGGCUCCCUUGCCCAGUGGAUGGGGUAAUGGCUGGAAAAUCCAUGGCGUGUGAGCCCCCAGAGCAGCACUGGAGAGAAGUCAGUGGAUAUAAGCAAAGAACACGGUGUCUAGUGGCUCUGCUAAUGGAGAACUCAGAAGAGACAGUGCCUUCGGAGUGUUUUCUGUGCAGACGCUGCUCGUGUGCUCUGGAUUGAACGUGGUGGGUUACAGUGUAGGAAAUCCUCCUCGCCACGGAUGUACUUUGGGGCGCUCUCUGCGAGCAGGAUGACGCUCUUUCCUGAGCCCUGCCUGCUUCCAGAAGGGGUGGACCUGCUGGCAUUACCUCUCCUUGUCGUCCCGAACACCGACCAAGUACCCACUGUGUGCCGGGCUCUGGGCCCCUCGGGGGGAAAGACAGGUGAGCCUCCUGUUCCCUUGGAAACUGUAAUCCUAAUGGAAGGAGAGCCCCAUAAGUAAGUAAAUAAAUAAAUGAACGAACCACUUUUGCUUACUGAUGGAAGUACACCAACAUAAGAGUGUGCUGUGCUGGAUCCCAUGCGUGGGACCAGGGGCGCUGCU